rnacentral:misc_RNA from 1 species
CGCACAUUGCGCCCCUUGGUAUUCCUUGGGGCAUGCCUGUUCGAGCGUCAUUUACACCCUCAAGCUCAGCUUGGUGAUGGGCGACCGUCCCCCGCGGACCCGCCCCAAAUGCAUUUGGCGGCUGGACCGGUGGCUUUAUCUGCAGCGCAAUUGCAGCUCGAGGCCGCCGGCUCCGGCGAACCAUCAAGCCCCCCCAUCCACGUUUUGACCUCGGAUCAGGUAGGGAUACCCGCUGAACUUAA